AUUGAACGCUGGCGGCAUGCUUUACACAUGCAAGUCGAACGGUAGAGGGGGCAACCCCUUGAGAGUGGCGAACGGGUGAGUAAUGCAUCGGAACGUGCCCAGUCGUGGGGGAUAACGCAGCGAAAGCUGUGCUAAUACCGCAUACGAUCUCUGGAUGAAAGCGGGGGACCGAAAGGCCUCGCGCGAUCGGAGCGGCCGAUGUCAGAUUAGGUAGUUGGUGGGGUAAAGGCCCACCAAGCCGACGAUCUGUAGCUGGUCUGAGAGGACGACAAGCCACACUGGGACUGAGACACGGCCGAGACUCCUACGGGAGGCAGCAGUGGGGAAUUUUGGACAAUGGGCGAAAGCCUGAUCCAGCAAUGCCGCGUGCAGGAAGAAGGCCUUCGGGUUGUAAACUGCUUUUGUACGGAGCGAAAAGGUCCUUUCUAAUACAAGGGGCUCAUGACGGUACCGUAAGAAUAAGCACCGGCUAACUACGUGCCAGCCGCCGCCGUAA
rnacentral:rRNA from 1 species